AAGCAUCAACAACAUAUGUGUUAUUAAUAAUGUGUUGUCAUCAUCAAAAAUCAGAGUGGUAUAGAUAUUGUGUUGGCAACAAUCUCAACAUUUAUGUUCCUCAACUUGGAAAUUCCGCCUUCUAUUACACCCUCCUUAAAUUUGCUCUAUGUCUUACAUACUGCUCCUCAAACUCUUCUACUUCUACUUCCUUUCUAAACAUUGAUUCCCUUUAUUCCACUUCAAAAUUCUUAUUCCUUUCUUAACUUAAGCUUUAAAACCAUCGACCACUUUUCUUACUCAAAUCCCAAACCUUGCCACUGCAAUGCUUAUCCAAAACUCCUCUUAUUUUAGCCUCUUGAACUCAACUCUUCUUGUGAAAUGUACAAUAUCUGAUCUCCUGACUUUUUCCUUGACAACUUCUUCACCCAAAAACAUUACUUAUAAAUUUCCAAUAUCUCUACACCUCCCUUGAAACCUAAACUUUGGUCUUCUAACUCUUUAUCUUUAAGGCAAGAAAAUGUCUCAAAGGCUUAAACCAAUUCUAAUGAAGGUAUACAGGUCAAGUUGUCCUUGAAUCUGCAUUCCUCUACCACUAUAGAGCAUAGUACACUACCACAAAGGCAAGAACAAGACAUAAAAUACUAUAGACAGUAACACUUGAAUCACUACCCUUCCUUUCCCUAAACCUUCAGAAUUAAGAAAGGAAAAUUAUCUCUAAUAAAAGUCAUGAUUGUGCACCCUCAUUCCUCCUAUAGAGACAUU
rnacentral:lncRNA from 1 species